rnacentral:rRNA from 1 species
CCUACGGGAGGCUGCAGUGGGGAAUAUUGGACAAUGGGCGAAAGCCUGAUCCAGCCAUGCCGCGUGUGUGAAGAAGGCCUUCGGGUUGUAAAGCACUUUCAGUGGGGAAGAAAGCCUUGGGGCUAAUACCCUCGAGGAAGGACAUCACCCACAGAAGAAGCACCGGCUAACUCCGUGCCAGCAGCCGCGAUAAUACGGAGGGUGCGAGCGUUAAUCGGAAUUACUGGGCGUAAAGCGCGCGUAGGCGGUCUGAUAAGCCGGUUGUGAAAGCCCCGGGCUCAACCUGGGAACGGCAUCCGGAACUGUCAGGCUAGAGUGCAGGAGAGGAAGGUAGAAUUCCCGGUGUAGCGGUGAAAUGCGUAGAGAUCGGGAGGAAUACCAGUGGCGAAGGCGGCCUUCUGGACUGACACUGACGCUGAGGUGCGAAAGCGUGGGUAGCAAACAGGAUUAGAUACCCUUGUAGUC